GAUGAAGAACGUAGCGAAAUGCGAUAAUUAAUGUGAAUUGCAGAAUUCAGUGAAUCAUCGAGUCUUUGAACGCACAUUGCGCCCCCUGGUAUUCCGGGGGGCAUGCCUGUCCGAGCGUCAUUGCUGCCCUCAAGCACGGCUUGUGUGUUGGGCCGUCGUCCCCCUCCUAGGGGACGGGCCCGAAAGGCAGCGGCGGCACCGCGUCCGGUCCUCGAGCGUAUGGGGCUUCGUCACCCGCUCCGUAGGCCCGGCCGGCGCUUGCCGACGACCAUCAAUCUCUUUCUCCAGGUUGACCUCGGAUCAGGUAGGGAUACCCGCUGAACUUAAGCAUAUCAAUAAGCGGAGGA
rnacentral:misc_RNA from 1 species